rnacentral:lncRNA from 1 species
GCAUAGAUAAUAUUUUUAAAAUGACGACAAAAUUCAAAAUGGGGCCGUUUAACAUGUCAAAAUUUGACGUUUGUUUUUAAAAAUGGUAUAAAAAUGAUUAAAAACCAAUGGAUCAUUUAUUUCAAUACAAGCACGUUUAUACAAACAUAUUAUUAUUUAAUGUAACAGGUGACAUUAACUUUGAAAUAAAAAUGGCCGAUAAAAC